AUGUCGGGCAAGAAAAGAAAGGUGGAAGACAUUAGAAGCUAUUUCACCAAACGAAGUGUAAGUCACCUGAGGAAAAUAGUCCCCUCUCAUAGGCUGCCGCUAAUGAAUCCAAAUCAUUGUGUCCAACCGUUUUCUCACUCUGAAUGGCGAUUGAUUUGUUACUUUGUCAGACAGAGGAACCCCGGCCAGGUUGGAGCUCAUACAGGGAAGAUUCAUGGCUACAGCAUACCUGUACGUCGCCACCUCCAGGUUCAGAGACGUCUUCGUCUGCAGGAGGCCGCGGUUCUCCAGGACCAGGCGGUGGAUCUGCUGGCCCAGCUCCUCUCUCUCCGCCUCCAGGCCCUCCAAGUGCUCCUGCCAAAAACAGGAAGUGAAAGAGGAAAAGGAAGCGGUUUAAAAAAAGUAAGCUGAAUAUCUUUGGGUUGUGGACAAAAAAACCAUUGUGAACGUCAUCUUGGGCUUCAGGAAACACUGAUCGACAUUUUGAAAGGCCAGACAACUAAUCAAUGAAAUGAGAAAUUAAUUGACAGAUUUAUCUACAACAGCGAUCAUCCAUCAGCGUUCAUAAUCUUUAGGGAUUUAAUUUACAGACGACCAAAGUAUUGGAUCCAUUUUUACUUCAUAAUGAUUUAAUAAACCAAGAAAACUUUUCUUUUUCCCCUUUAAUAUCUUAUUUCUAACGUGUCUCUCUGCUCCUGUAAAGAACUUUGUACUGACGUGUGUCUGAACGCUGUUUUAUAAAUAAACUUCCCUCGACUCCAUUUUGUCUCACUGACCUCAGUUGUGCAGAUGCUGAUCAUCAUCUGUCCACAUUCCCCCUGCGGUUUGUCAUUUCAUCAUUUUAGACGCUGUCUAUUUGUGCCACUUGAAGCUUUAUCAGUCACAUCGGACACUGAGGGUAGUG
rnacentral:lncRNA from 1 species